rnacentral:rRNA from 1 species
UGGGGAAUAUUGGGCAAUGGGGGCAACCCUGACCCAGCGACGCCGCGUGGGGGAAGACGGCCUUCGGGUUGUAAACCUCUUUUGUACGGGAAGAAGGAAGUGACGGUACUGUACGAAUAAGUCCCGGCUAACUACGUGCCAGCAGCCGCGGUAAUACGUAGGGGACGAGCGUUGUCCGGAAUUACUGGGCGUAAAGGGCGCGCAGGCUGUGCUGCAAGUCAGCUGUUAAAUGUCUGGGCUUAACCCGGGCAUGCGGUUGAGACUGCGGUGCUGGAGUGCUGUAGAGGCAAGUGGAAUUCCCAGUGUAGCGGUGAAAUGCGUAGAUAUUGGGAAGAACACCGGUGGCGAAGGCGACUUGCUGGGCAGCAACUGACGCUGAGGCGCGAAAGCCAGGGGAGCAAACGGG